AUUGAACGCUGGCGGCAGGCCUAACACAUGCAAGUCGAACGAGUGGCGGACGGGUGAGUAAUGUCUGGGAAACUGCCUGAUGGAGGGGGAUAACUACUGGAAACGGUAGCUAAUACCGCAUACCCUCGGAUGUGCCCAGAUGGGAUUAGAUAGUAGGUGGGGUAACGGCGCACCUAGGCGACGAUCCGUACCUGGUCGGAGAGGAUGAUCAGUCACACUGGAACUGAGACACGGGCCAGACUCCUACGGGAGGCAGCAGUGGGGAAUAUUGGACAAUGGGCGAAAGCCUGAUCCAGCCAUGGCGCGUGUGUGAAGAAGGUCUUCGGAUGGUAAAGCACUUUAAGUGGGGAGGCGUUACCAACAGAAGAAGCACCGGCUAACUCCGUGCCAGCAGCCGCGGUAAUAC
rnacentral:rRNA from 1 species